ensembl:lncRNA
GAAGAGAGUUUCCUGUGAGCGCGGCUUCCUCAACAUGCAGCGCCCUUGUCAGUGCAGGUGGAGUUCGGAGGCGGUGCGGAGCUCCUGUUGACGGUGGUGAAGAAGCAUCAGGUCACCUUGCCUGGACAGGAGGAACCCUGGGACAUCCGGAACCUCCUUGUCUGGAUCAAGAAGAACUUGCUAAAAGAGCGGCCGGAGUUGUUCAUCCGGGGAGACAGCGUGCGGCCAGGGAUUCUGGUGCUGAUUAAUGAUGCCGACUGGGAACUGCUGGUCAGUACCUCGGGGGACAGCCCUCCCUCAACCACUCCCCUCACUGCUUUGGUAGGAAAGCCUUGGGCCUCUCAUGAGACGCACAUAGGGUGGCUAUGUAAUCCUCUGUCCCAAUCUGGCCUCCAGACUGAGGCUACUUGAGUCUCCCACCCCAAGUGAGGAAGGAAUGGGUAGCUGGGGGAAGUGAUGAGCUCUGCUCCACCCUGGAGAUUUGCUAGUAGUUAAUGUAUAGUGUACCCGUUUUUUUUCUGGUAGAUCCUAUCUUUUUCUCCCAGAGCAGCCAGGCUCCCCCUCUUUCCCUCUCAACACCUGGGGAGAAACUGGAAAAGUGCCCUUGACGGUCUUCUUAUUUCUCUUCUGGACCAGGGUGAGCUGGACUACCAGCUUCAGGACCAGGACAGCAUCCUCUUCAUAUCCACGCUGCACGGCGGCUAAGGGCCCUUCUCUGUGCCUGGGCCCCCUUGGGGUGGGGAGAACAGAACAAUCAGACAUCCCCUUGGGCCCUGCUUCCAGAUCUCCCUGUCUCCCUUGGCUGCUUUCUUCCCUACUCUGUCCCCUGAGCUCCCUCCAGGCAGGGAAAAGAGGCCAGGUGCUAAAAAUGAGCCUUUCUCAGGCACGUGAGCAGGGGAAGGCAGGCAGGCGGGCAGGCGCCCGAGCCCAGCACUCCCUCUCCCAGCAGCUGAGGUGGGGGAGGGUGCCCCUCAGUUUGUCAGGAGUGGAGGGGUCUGUGCGGCCAGGUGACCCGGCAGCUCUCUACUCCUGUGUCUCAGUCUAAACACUGAGUGGCCGCUGACGAGGCACUCCAGCUCCUGGGCCGUGGUGCCUUCCUGGGGGAAGAUGAAUGAACCUGAAUAGCUAAUGGCAGGCCCCUCCCUUCUCAAGGAUUGGAGGGGUCUCCGCCUCAGUUUCCCCAUCUGGACAGCAGAGGGCUCUGCCUGUCCCCCACUGAUAUCAUUGUGGAGCCCCAGCUGGGGUCCCCUAUUCAGUGCUGCCCCCCCCACAGCAGCUGCUCUUCCAGCCGCACCCUUCCUCCUGCUCCCCCACCCACAGUGCUUGACCCUGGCUGGCCUCCCCCCACACAGGCCACCAGAUGGGCUCCUGAGACGCUCCUCCCGGCAAGAGGCUGCCAGCGUGCAGCUCAUUCUGCUGAGUGGGGAGAGAAGGAGGGUGUCGGCUAAACCUUGGACUGGCAGAUAGAGGCUUGGGGGGUCAAUGUGCCUCAGUUUCCUCCUCAACAACAACUGAAUUUUUAUAGUAUCUGAAAACUGGGGAGAUACUUGAUGGCACAAAUGUACACUUGAUCUCCUCUCUCUCCUCCUGCAGGAAGCAGGAUGGGGGCAGGCAGCACCUGGUAGGCAGGAUGGUUCACCCCUCCUCCCUCCAUCCCUUCUGGAAGUCUUGGGGCCUCAGUGCCUGCAACAGCUGGCCUUGGGCAAAUAAAAGACUAGGUUGUUUACUGGCCUUGCCUGGAACUUCGUCCUUAGAAACCGGUGGCACCCCACACUUCCCCCAGCCGUGGUCUCUGGUCCAACCUCUGUCUUCAGCCUAGGGCUUUCAGAACUUCCCUUCACCCGAGAAGAGAGCAGGGGUUGCAAGCCAGACUAUCCAGACUCGGAGAAAGGGUGAUAGGACGGGCCAUCUGGAGAAGGGGUGGCAGAGCCGGUCUGUGCUGACCAGCGUGCGUCCCGAGAUACUUCCCUACCCGUCUGUCCGAGGCCAGGCUUUGUCCCACCAGCUGCAGCCAGCGGCCUCAGGACGGAGGAGGCAUAGAUAAGACUGCAGAGCCCCACUUCCCAUGACCUGGAGGAAAAGCUUUGUUUGCUGGAGGGAGACCUC